UGGACGUGCCGUCACAGGAUG
rnacentral:miRNA from 1 species